rnacentral:rRNA from 1 species
UACGGGGGGGGCAAGCGUUGUUCGGAAUUACUGGGCGUAAAGGGUCUGUAGGUGGCUUGCUAAGUCAGACGUGAAAUCCCUCGGCUUAACCGGGGAACUGCGUCUGAUACUGGCGAGCUUGAGUGCAGGAGAGGAACGCGGAAUUCCAGGUGUAGCGGUGAAAUGCGUAGAUAUCUGGAGGAACACCGGUGGCGAAGGCGGCGUUCUGGACUGCAACUGACACUGAGACACGAAAGCGUGGGUAGCAAACAGG